rnacentral:ncRNA from 1 species
CCACGUCCCGACGCACCCCCGGCGCCGGGACCUUUCCCAGAGCCGGGCUUCGGCGCCUUCCCCGGCGUCGGAGUCCGGCUCCACU